UGCAAGUGAUGAAUGGCAAGGGACUUAACAGUGAAACCUCAUGCUGCAGUGCAAUAUGAUGACAUGC